rnacentral:misc_RNA from 1 species
GAAAUGCGAUAAGUAAUGUGAAUUGCAGAAUUCAGGGAAUCAUCGAAUCUUUGAACGCACAUUGCGCCUAUUAGUAUUCUAGUAGGCAUGCCUGUUCGAGCGUCAUUUCAACCCUCAAGCCCUGGUUGCUUGGUGUUGGGAGCUUGCUGUGAAACGCAACUCCUCAAAGCUAGCUGGCAGAGUCGGGAUGCACUCUAAGCGUAGUAAACUUGAUAGUCUCGCUUCUGCAGUUGUCCCGGCCGUCUUGCUAUAAAAGCCCAAACUUUUUUGUUUUCUAUGGUUGACCUCGGAUCAGGUAGGAAUACCCGCUGAACUUAAGC